UUGAGAGUUGUUCGACGGUUGUGAGUAGUCGAAAGUAUGGUGAAGACAAGCUCUCUUUUGUUUGACUGUGGACUAGUCUCCUUUUCCAACAUCAUCAUCCAUGUAGGAUGUCAGUCCCAGAAUUUUAUUUCCAUGCUUUGUUUGUCAUAUGCUUCCUAGUGACAUGGCUACACAUUAGGCUACUGAAUUGAAUCUUUAUUGUGUAUCUAGGUGGCCUAUACCAUCUCCUGUAAACAUCACUAGCCCUUAUUCUCUCCAUAAGCUGCUGGUUUGAUUUUAUGUUUCACUAAGGUUAUGUUCGUUUGGUUUAUUUUGUAUUUUUGGGUACUUAUCAAGUGUCCCUGUCGUUCACUAAAAUUCAAUUCAUGGAAUUAGUUUGUUUUUGGUGCACUGAUUUAGUUAGGCCGUACCUUACUCAAUAUAUUUUAAAAUGUUCCAAGUUCAGGAAUAAGGGGCCCUUUUUUUGCAUUUGUGAACUCUGAAUGCUCAAGUCUGGAAAUGUUGCAAAUACAGGAACCCUGCUGAGAAUCAUGGGCCGAAUGGCCUAGAUGGAGGGCCAGGACAUGUGCCAAAUGCCCUGGGUGGAGUGCCAGGACAAGAACCAGGUGCGCCAGAUGGAAACGCAGCACAACAAGAUAUGAACCCUGCUGGGAAUCAUGGGCUGAAUGGCCCGGGUGGAGGGCUAGGACAUGUGCCAAAUGCCCCGGUUGCAGUGCCAAAUGACGUGCUAGGUGUGCUGGAUGGAGACGCAGCAGAACAAGAUAUGUGAGUUUUCCUUCUUUUUUUACCUUACCCAAUAUAUUUUAAAUAUUACAAGUUCAGGAACAAGGGACUUUUUUUGCAAUUGCAAACUCUGAAUGCUCAAGUCUGGAAGUGUUGCAAAUACAGGAACCCUGCUGGGAAUGGAGUGGCAGGACAAGUGCCAGUUGUUCCGGAUGGAGGCGCAGCACAACAAGAUAUGGACGAGAUCGCUGCCGCUCUUCCAGAUGUCGACUGUUUCUACAAGGAGGCCUGACCUGACCAGCCAGUGGCGCAAGUAUAAGUGGAUUGGAACAGCGUUCCUCAUUCAGAUGUUGUCGAUUCCCAUUUGAUA